AGACUCCUACGGGAGGCUGCAGUCGAGAAUCAUUCGCAAUGGGCGAAAGCCUGACGAUGCGACGCCGUGUGAGCGAAGAAGGCCUUAGGGUCGUAAAGCUCUUUCGCUUGGGAACAAGAGAAGCUGACUAAUAAUCAGUCAAUUUGAGCGUA
rnacentral:rRNA from 1 species